AAACCGUUCAGGGGUAAACCUGAGGAACCCAAAAGAUCGAAUGGGGAGAUUCAUCGUCAGCGACGCAGGCUUCGCGGUGGCAGUGAUGACUCGGCGGCCAUCUCUCGGUGGCUCGUCGGGCACGCUACGGCCGCGUACGUCCGGCGGCGUCGGCGUGCACUUCUCCCCUAGUAGGACGUCGCGACCCGUUGGGUGCCGGUCUAAGGCCCGGGUGGGCGCCUGUCUCGUCGCCUCGCGGCGGAUCGAGGCAGACCCCCGGUCGCCAGACGCCGGCUGCCCGGCGGUACUCCCAUGGUAUUGGGCCGCAAACACACUGCGUCGGACCCGCGGCAAGCGCGACCAGUUUCCUGCGGAGGUUACGGACUCAGCGCCGUCCCCGCGGCUGGUCAGCUGUUGGCUCGCGGUGCUCUCCGACUGGCCAUUGCGUUAAAGCGAGAAUACCGGUCGGCGACGCUACUGCUUUGGGUAAUCUCAGGACCCGUCUUGAAACACGGACCAAGGAGUCUAACAUGUGCGCGAGUCAUUGGGACCGCAUGCCUAAAGGCGAAAUGAAAGUGAAGGUCGGCCCUAGCGCCGACCGAGGGAGGAUGGGCCGCGUCAAGAUGCGGCUCCGCACUCCCGGGGCGUCUCGCUCUCAUCGCGAGAA
rnacentral:rRNA from 1 species